rnacentral:lncRNA from 1 species
GGAAUAUUUGUUAUGCCCUACCUUAUUGAUACAUAGAUAUCCAAAUAAAAAAUUAACCUUUCUAAGUUUCAAUGUUCUCCAUUGUGAUUGCGACCAACCAUACAAGUAGUUGAAAGUGAUUAAGAGCGCAUUGUUGCUUUGCUUCACGUUUUCUUUUACUGAAUAACUGUUUCCAGAAUUUACUCAACUUUUGAAUUAUAUGCAUAGCAGA